rnacentral:piRNA from 1 species
UGAAUAUUGCUUUGCAGUGCCUUGCUGUGUU